rnacentral:tRNA from 1 species
GCGAGCGUGGCGGAACUGGCAGACGCGCCGGGUUUAGGUCCCGGUGACCUUCGCAGGUCUUGGGGGUUCGAGUCCCUCCGCUCGCA